GUCUAUACGAAGGUAUGUAAAGUCUGGCCUGCCCACUGACUAAUAAUGUUUAAAGGGCCGCGGUAUCUUGACCGUGCGAAGGUAGCAUAAUCAUUAGUCUUUUAAUUAAAGGCUUGUAUGAAUGGUUGGACAAAAAGUAAGCUGUCUUCAGUUAUAGAAAUUGAAUUUGACUUUUAAGUGAAAAGGCUUAAAUAAAACAAAGUGACGAUAAGACCCUAUAAAGCUUUAUAGUGUAGCUUUUUAUUAUAAAUUAUAAAAUUGUAUAACUUAAUUUAAAGUAAAACUUUUUCGUUGGGGCGACGGAAAUAUAACAGAAAUAACUGUUUUUAUAUCAAUAAAACAAAUAUAUUUGGCCUAAAAUGAUCCUUUGCUAAAGAUUAAAAGAUUAAGUUACUUUAGGGAUAACAGCGUAAUCUUCUUUGAGAGUUCAUAUCGACAAGAAGGGUUGCGACCUCGAUGUUGAAUUAAGGUUCCUUUAUGGUGUAGCAGUUAUAAUCGGAGGUCUGUUCGACCUUUAAAUCCUUACAUGAUUUGAGUUCAGACCGGCGUAAG
rnacentral:rRNA from 1 species